GCAGGUGUAGCUCAGUGGUAGAGUACUUGCCUGGCAUGCAUGAGGCCUUAGGUUUGAUUCCGCACUGCA
rnacentral:tRNA from 1 species